UACGGAGGGUGCAAGCGUUAUCCGGAUUCACUGGGUUUAAAGGGUGCGUAGGCGGCUUUAUAGGUCAGUGCUGAAAUAUCCCGGCUUAACCGGGAGGGUGGCAUUGAUACUGCAGAGCUUGAGUGAAGUCGGGGUAGGCGGAAUUGACGGUGUAGCGGUGAAAUGCUUAGAUAUCGUCAAGAACACCGAUAGUGAAGACAGCUUACUAGACUUCAACUGACGCUGAGGCACGAAAGUGUGGGGAUCAAACAGG
rnacentral:rRNA from 1 species